GAUGAAGAACGUAGCGAAAUGCGAUACUUGGUGUGAAUUGCAGAAUCCCGUGAACCAUCGAAUCUUUGAACGCACAUUGCGCCCUUUGGUAUUCCUUAGGGCAUGCCUGUUCGAGCGUCAUUUAAACCUUCAAGCUCAGCUUGGUGUUGGGUGACUGUCCGCUUCACCGCGGACUCGCCUCAAAAUUAUUGGCGGCCGGUACAUUGGCUUCGAGCGCAGCAGAAACGCGAACUCGGGCCCGUCGUAUUGGCUCCCAGAAGCUAUCUUCACAAUUUUGACCUCGGAUCAGGUAGGGAUACCCGCUGAACUUAAGCAUAUCAAUAAGCGGAGGA
rnacentral:misc_RNA from 1 species